GCCGAAGUGGCGGAAUUGGUAGACGCGCUAGGUUCAGGACUUAGUGGGUGAAUGCCUGUGCGGGUUCGAUUCCCGCCUUCGGCACCA
rnacentral:tRNA from 2 species